CCUCCAUGUCCUCCAAGCUGCCUAUUUACCAAGUAAGAACGUAAAUAUGUUAGUAUUUCCAAACUAAAUGGAAUUGUAUCUCACUUUAACAUGCUAUGUGGCUUGCAUUCAAUGUUUGAUGAAGUUGUAUUUUGUCCUCCUUCUCCCGUGUAUUUCAGACUUUACAGAAGCGGUAUCUCAAUGACUGUGGGCAAUACAGAAAUCUAGAGCUGGACUGAUUGAUGCCUGCUUUGAAUAUAAUGGUGCUUUGUAACAUGGGAAAGGAGCUUUGAAUGUGGUAUCCAUAUCAGACAAGAACUCCACCUCCUGGAGAGACUGACAUGAGUGGCUGUGGAGUGGGUUUCAACAGUUAAACUACCAAACAAAGAAAUGAUUAUGGGCUACAUGCAACUUCACAAGCAUGAUUUGCAGGACAAAGGUGUAAAAGAUGAGGAUAAUGUAGUAAUAGAGCAUAUGGACAACGAGAAUCAAACCCAUUCAUUAUCAUGCAAGCACUAAAACGUAAGGUCAAAAGAGGUGUAAGGAAGAGACUAUCAGGGUGUGAAAGGUAGAUCACACAACACAGGAAGUUGUGAACUGGCCAUGAAAAGACCAAUACUCAGUUUGUAGGAUUAGUGAAGAAUGUGGAUUAGUGUUUCUAAACAAUCUUUUAUGUAAGUGACCAGAUAUCAAUUCGUAGCACUUGGAGUAACUGUGAUUCAGGUGACCUAAUUCUAGGUCAGCACAAAACUGAGAUUUUUUUUUUUCCUGGUAAAUCCACCCAUAAGUUAUCUAAAAGCUUUAAGUAUUUAAGUAUUUCCUUUGACUUAAAAUAAAAUCUUGGUUUUCUUUUCUUUCUGCA
rnacentral:lncRNA from 1 species